rnacentral:rRNA from 1 species
CCUACGGGGGGCUGCAGUGAGGAAUAUUGGUCAAUGGGCGAGAGCCUGAACCAGCCAAGUCGCGUGAAGGAUGACGGCCCUACGGGUUGUAAACUUCUUUUGUCAGGGAGCAAUUGGGUCCACGCGUGGGCUUAGCGAGAGUACCUGAAGAAAACGCAUCGGCUAACUCCGUGCCAGCAGCCGCGGUAAUACGGAGGAUGCGAUCGUUAUCCGGAUUUAUUGGGUUAAAAGGGUGCGUAGGCGGAAGUUCAAGUCAGCGGUAAAAAUUCGGGGCUCAACCCCGUCGUGCCGUUGAAACUGGUGGUCUUGAGUGGGCGAGAAGUAGGCGGAAUGCGUGGUGUAGCGGUGAAAUGCAUAGAUAUCACGCAGAACUCCGAUUGCGAAGGCAGCAUACCGGCGCCCAACUGACGCUGAAGCACGAAAGCGUGGGUAUCGAACAGGAUUAGAUACCCUAGUAGUC